GCAGUUGCCACUGCAUCUGGUGGUUGGUGCAGGGAGACAACAGGGAACCCGGUGAGAAUCCGGGACUGCCCCGCAGCGGUAUGGAGGAACGACCGACGACAUCAGCACUGGCCCUUGGCUGGGAAGCGUCGUCCACUAGGAACACACCCCACUGGGUGCCCGCCUCCGAGUCCGAAUACCUGCCAGCACUCCGGGCGGCAC
rnacentral:ncRNA from 2 species